rnacentral:rRNA from 2 species
UGUGGCGAGUUCCCUUCAUUGGGAGUUUGUCGCGAGAACUUGUCUAAACCUUAUCAUUUAGAGGAAGGUGAAGUCGUAACAAGGUUUCCGUAGGUGAACCUGCGGAAGGAUCAUUA